rnacentral:rRNA from 1 species
AUUGAACGCUGGCGGCAUGCCUUACACAUCCAAGUCGAACGGCAGCACGGGUGCUUGCACCUGGUGGCGAGUGGCGAACGGGUGAGUAAUACAUCGGAACAUGUCCUGUAGUGGGGGAUAGCCCGGCGAAAGCCGGAUUAAUACCGCAUACGAUCCACGGAUGAAAGCGGGGGCCCUUCGGGCCUCGCGCUAUAGGGUUGGCCGAUGGCUGAUUAGCUAGUUGGUGGGGUAAAGGCCUACCAAGGCGACGAUCAGUAGCUGGUCUGAGAGGACGACCAGCCACACUGGGACUGAGACACGGCCCAGACUCCUACGGGAGGCAGCAGUGGGGAAUUUUGGACAAUGGGCGAAAGCCUGAUCCAGCAAUGCCGCGUGUGUGAAGAAGGCCUUCGGGUUGUAAAGCACUUUUGUCCGGAAAGAAAUCCUUGACUCUAAUACAGUCGGGGGAUGACGGUACCGGAAGAAUAAGCACCGGCUAACUACGUG